UGCAGUCGACGCUUCUUUUCCCACCGGAGCUUGCUCCACCGGGAAAAGAGGAGUGGCGAACGGGUGAGUAACACGUGGGUAACCUGCCCAUCAGAAGGGGAUAACACUUGGAAACAGGUGCUAAUACCGUAUAACAAUCGAAACCGCAUGGUUUCGUUUUGAAAGGCGCUUUACGGUGCCGCUGAUGGAUGGACCCGCGGUGCAUUAGCUAGUUGGUGAGGUAACGGCUCACCAAGGCCACGAUGCAUAGCCGACCUGAGAGGGUGAUCGGCCACAUUGGGACUGAGACACGGCCCAAACUCCUACGGGAGGCAGCAGUAGGGAAUCUUCGGCAAUGGACGAAAGUCUGACCGAGCAACGCCGCGUGAGUGAAGAAGGUUUUCGGAUCGUAAAACUCUGUUGUUAGAGAAGAACAAGGGUGAGAGUAACUGUUCACCCCUUGACGGUAUCUAACCAGAAAGCCACGGCUAACUACGUGCCAGCAGCCGCGGUAAUACGUAGGUGGCAAGCGUUGUCCGGAUUUAUUGGGCGUAAAGCGAGCGCAGGCGGUUUCUUAAGUCUGAUGUGAAAGCCCCCGGCUCAACCGGGGAGGGUCAUUGGAAACUGGGAGACUUGAGUGCAGAAGAGGAGAGUGGAAUUCCAUGUGUAGCGGUGAAAUGCGUAGAUAUAUGGAGGAACACCAGUGGCGAAGGCGGCUCUCUGGUCUGUAACUGACGCUGAGGCUCGAAAGCGUGGGGAGCAAACAGGAUUAGAUACCCUGGUAGUCCACGCCGUAAACGAUGAGUGCUAAGUGUUGGAGGGUUUCCGCCCUUCAGUGCUGCAGCUAACGCAUUAAGCACUCCGCCUGGGGAGUACGACCGCAAGGUUGAAACUCAAAGGAAUUGACGGGGGCCCGCACAAGCGGUGGAGCAUGUGGUUUAAUUCGAAGCAACGCGAAGAACCUUACCAGGUCUUGACAUCCUUUGACCACUCUAGAGAUAGAGCUUCCCCUUCGGGGGCAAAGUGACAGGUGGUGCAUGGUUGUCGUCAGCUCGUGUCGUGAGAUGUUGGGUUAAGUCCCGCAACGAGCGCAACCCUUAUUGUUAGUUGCCAUCAUUUAGUUGGGCACUCUAGCAAGACUGCCGGUGACAAACCGGAGGAAGGUGGGGAUGACGUCAAAUCAUCAUGCCCCUUAUGACCUGGGCUACACACGUGCUACAAUGGGAAGUACAACGAGUCGCGAAGUCGCGAGGCUAAGCUAAUCUCUUAAAGCUUCUCUCAGUUCGGAUUGUAGGCUGCAACUCGCCUACAUGAAGCCGGAAUCGCUAGUAAUCGCGGAUCAGCACGCCGCGGUGAAUACGUUCCCGGGCCUUGUACACACCGCCCGUCACACCACGAGAGUUUGUAACACCCGAAGUCGGUGAGGUAACCUUUUGGAGCCAGCCGCCUAAGGGUGGA
rnacentral:rRNA from 1 species